rnacentral:rRNA from 1 species
AGAGUUUGAUCCUGGCUCAGGACGAACGCUGGCGGCGCGCCUAACACAUGCAAGUCGAACGAGCGAGAGAGAGCUUGCUUUCUCAAGCGAGUGGCGAACGGGUGAGUAACGCGUGAGGAACCUGCCUCAAAGAGGGGGACAACAGUUGGAAACGACUGCUAAUACCGCAUAAGCCCACAGCUCGGCAUCGAGCAGAGGGAAAAGGAGCAAUCCGCUUUGAGAUGGCCUCGCGUCCGAUUAGCUAGUUGGUGAGGUAAUGGCCCACCAAGGCGACGAUCGGUAGCCGGACUGAGAGGUUGAACGGCCACAUUGGGACUGAGACACGGCCCAGACUCCUACGGGAGGCAGCAGUGGGGAAUAUUGCACAAUGGGGGAAACCCUGAUGCAGCGACGCCGCGUGGAGGAAGAAGGUCUUCGGAUUGUAAACUCCUGUUGUUGAGGAAGAUAAUGACGGUACUCAACAAGGAAGUGACGGCUAACUACGUGCCAGCAGCCGCGGUAAAACGUAGGUCACAAGCGUUGUCCGGAAUUACUGGGUGUAAAGGGAGCGCAGGCGGGAAGACAAGUUGGAAGUGAAAUCUAUGGGCUCAACCCAUAAACUGCUUUCAAAACUGUUUUUCUUGAGUAGUGCAGAGGUAGGCGGAAUUCCCGGUGUAGCGGUGGAAUGCAUAGAUAUCGGGAGGAACACCAGUGGCGAAGGCGGCCUACUGGGCACCAACUGACGCUGAGGCUCGAAAGUGUGGGUAGCAAACAGGAUUAGAUACCCUGGUAGUCCACACCGUAAACGAUGAUUACUAGGUGUUGGAGGAUUGACCCCUUCAGUGCCGCAGUUAACACAAUAAGUAAUCCACCUGGGGAGUACGACCGCAAGGUUGAAACUCAAAGGAAUUGACGGGGGCCCGCACAAGCAGUGGAGUAUGUGGUUUAAUUCGACGCAACGCGAAGAACCUUACCAAGUCUUGACAUCCUGCGACGCACAUAGAAAUAUGUGUUUCCUUCGGGACGCAGAGACAGGUGGUGCAUGGUUGUCGUCAGCUCGUGUCGUGAGAUGUUGGGUUAAGUCCCGCAACGAGCGCAACCCUUACUGUCAGUUACUACGCAAGAGGACUCUGGCAGGACUGCCGUUGACAAAACGGAGGAAGGUGGGGAUGACGUCAAAUCGUCAUGCCCUUUAUGACUUGGGCUACACACGUACUACAAUGGCGUUAAACAAAGAGAAGCAAGACCGCGAGGUGGAGCAAAACUCAGAAACAACGUCCCAGUUCGGACUGCAGGCUGCAACUCGCCUGCACGAAGUCGGAAUUGCUAGUAAUCGUGGAUCAGCAUGCCACGGUGAAUACGUUCCCGGGCCUUGUACACACCGCCCGUC